ACACAUAUUAUUCUAAAGGAAGCUACUUCACCCAUUCCAAAUGCAGGACCUCACUGUUGUUUUGUCAACUCUGCUAAUAGUUUGCAGCAAUAAUGACAAAAAGGAACAUUCAGAUUUUCCAGUGGGCCUGAAGGGAUGUAGGGAGUAUUCCUUAACCUUAGCUACACCUUUAAUGAAUUUUGGUAACAGAUUCACUGCUAGACAUUUUCUAUCUGUUUCUUUUGGGAGUGAAAAAGAUUUUAUUGAUGAUGAAGAGGCAGAGUAGAUGGCUGUAGAUUUCUAGAUGGUAAAAGUGAAAUUGAGACAGGAAUGAAGAAAGAAGCCUAUUCCAGUUGAUGCAUUAUGCUUUCUCUGAGGGAGAACAUUGGCGAAUAAUAAUUUUCACAAACUUAUUAUGUUCUUUUAGCUUCUUUAAGAGUCUUGAAUUUUCUGUGAGAUCAGUCUAGCUAUUUUUUCAGGUUGAGUUAGGUUUGGCAUUCUUUGUCCUCUCACUUCUGGCUCAUGAUGUAGCAUGCUGUCCCUAUUCUGUUAUCCAUUUGAUAAAAAUUUCUCUUUCCCUUUAA